AGUUUCUUUCUAGAGAAACUGCACCGGACCUGUGUUAUAAAAAGCGCCUGCGGUGAGAGAAUCUAUCGUCCUGCAGACGCAUUUUAGCUGCGCGAUCGCUUCCGCUGCCUUUUUUUUCUCUGUUAUAAAGUUUUCAGGUAAAGAGACAAUGAUGAAUGUUUAAUUCUUCCACCUGAGACGAUGAUGAAUGAUUCCAGCGCUUCGGCGGCCAGGCCUACUGCGGGAUCAGCCUACCGGAAGACUUCAAAGAGACGAAAAUAAAUUGGUUUCAGAUUCGAGGUUUACUCAGCAGGAGCUUCCAGCCUGCAAGCCGAUUCUCACCCCACAAUGGGUUAUCUCAUUGUUCACUUUGGUUGGCAUAAUCUUCAUUCCUAUUGGCGUUGCUUCCCUUCUUGCUUCUAACGAUGUUGUUGAAAUCGUUGAUCGGUAUGAAACUGCCUGCGUACCACCCAGUAUGAUUAAUGAUAAGGUUGGGUACAUUCAGAAUCCUGCCAUCAGCAAAACUUGUUCACGGAUGCUCAAGGUACCCAAGGAUAUGGACAAGCCUGUAUAUGUAUACUAUCAGCUUGACAACUUCUAUCAGAACCACCGGAGGUAUGUAAAGAGCCGAAAUGAUAAGCAGUUGAGGGAUGCUAGCAAAGCUUAUGAGACUAGCGGUUGUGAUCCGGAAAAAGCUGCUGCAGACGGAACUCCAAUUGUCCCUUGUGGACUUAUAGCUUGGAGUUUGUUCAAUGACACAUACAGCUUUACUCAUGGCAAUGGUGAAUCACUGACAGUGAACAAGAAGGAUAUUUCUUGGAAGAGUGACAGAGAUCACAAGUUUGGAUAUGAUGUAUAUCCUAAGAACUUCCAGAGUGGAGCUCUGAGAGGUGGUGGAACACUUGAUCCUAAGAAACCUCUGAGCAAGCAGGAGGAUCUUAUUGUGUGGAUGCGUACUGCAGCACUUCCAACGUUUAGGAAGCUGUAUGGAAGGAUAGAAGUUGAUCUUAAAAAGAAUGAAAUCAUUACUGUAAUGCUAGAAAACAACUACAACACUUACAGUUUUGGUGGCAAGAAAAAGCUGGUGCUUUCAACCUCAACUUGGCUUGGAGGAAAAAAUAAUUUCCUUGGCAUUGCUUAUCUUUCUGUUGGAGGAUUGUGCUUCUUUCUAGCAACAGCUUUCAGUGUGGUACAUUUAGUACAGCCUAGGGAACUUGGUGAUCCUUCACUCUUAUCAUGGAAUACAAAUUCUGGAACUCACUAGGCUUUCCGAAAGCAGGCUGUGUAUUUUGGCGUGGUCUGUUUGUUUGUUCAUAUAUUAUUUCUAAAUUCAUAAAGGAUGCCCUCCUCAAAGAUUUUAGCAAAAGUGGGGUAGGAGGAAGAUGGGAGUUUCAGUGGUCUUUGUAUGCCACGAUCCUGUCACUCCAGUAGGAGCGAUGCGAAAAGAGAAAAAAGAUGAGAGUUUUGGAGGCAAUCUCGUUGCUUUGGUAGGAGCGGGGAGAAAUGAGAUGGAAGUUUUGAAGGUUUUUGUACGCUAGCGUCACUGGAGGGAAAAAUUAUUGGGUCAGCACAUCAGAUGCAAAUUUGCGCCCAAUGUCCAUAUAAAAAUGAACACUUGGAAGGUGGGUUUCACUUUUAAAAAACAACAAAAAAUGUUUAUUUCAGUGGGCCCCAUAUUUGUAGGUGGACCAUUUUAAUUUGACACCAGACGCAUAUUUGCGUCCGGUGUCCUGGCGCAAUAAUCUCUCCAUUGGAUAAGGUUUUUUGCUGGAACCAUGGUUUUAUAAGAGCUUUUCCUUGAAAAAAAUGACAGAGGCGAUCUAAUGAGCUUGGAAACACGAGCGUUAUCAGAAGCUGGUUUC